GUGAAGUUAUUGCUGUGCUCUGAUUUAAAUGACUGAAGGCUUGUUUGUCUGUGAGGGACUCAGUAUUCACAGCAGCCCAGAUAUGGUGUGACUGGAUUCCAUGAAAACUGCGGUGUACCUUUUUCAAAAUUCUUCUCCGUGUUUACACAGAACAUAGGGUUGUCAUACGCUGCAUCUUCUAUGUCUCACCUCAGUCCUUCUUCUGAGAUCCCAACCUCCUGCUUUCCCCCAGUGUAUACUGAAGAAUGGGAUGUGUUUUAAUUAUUCCCUCAUUCAUCAAUACAUCUCCUUCGCUUCACUUGCCCUAUUGCCAGAGACAACAGCAGAGCGUGGCAGCUA
rnacentral:lncRNA from 1 species